CGGGCGGUUCGCCGCCCGUGACUCGGCGAGAAGUCCAUUGAACCUUAUCAUUUAGAGGAAGGAGAAGUCGUAACAAGGUUUCCGUAGGUGAACCUGCGGAAGGAUCAUUGUCGAGACCGAAAUAUAGAUCGAGCGACCCAGAGAACACGUGAAUCGAGCGACGACUGCGAUUGCCGUCGUCGUGGGAUGGCCGGCCCGGUUGUUGCCCUCAUUUCCUGUAAUGGGUAUUGCAGGGCACGGCCAGGGACGGAUGAAAGCACAAACCGGCGCAGCAUCGCGCCAAGGAAUAAUUCAAAUGCACGAGCCCCGUGUGGAGCUCGGUGGCGUGGGGUGCUUCGGCACGUCCCGCUGUUGGACAUGACUCUCGGCAAUGGAUAUCUCGGCUCUCGCAUCGAUGAAGAGCGCAGCGAAAUGCGAUACGUGGUGCGAAUUGCAGAAUCCCGCGAACCAUCGAGUCUUUGAACGCAAGUUGCGCCCGAGGCCGUCAGGCCAAGGGCACGUCCGCCUGGGCGUCAAGCGUUGCGUCGCUCCGUGCCACAGCUCCGACCGCAUCGUGGUUUGGAGUAUGGGGCUCGGAUGUGCAGAGUGGCUCGUCGUGCCCAUCGGUGCGGCGGGUUGAAGAAAGGGCAACGUCUCGCAGGCCGCGAACAACAAGGGGUGGGAGAAUGCUGCGAGCACAACCUGCGUUGUCUCGUGUUGGCCCGAGAGACGGUUCGCGCCUUCAAUGUGAUCCCGACCCAUGUACCGAUCCGCUUGCGGGCGGUGUCUUGGAAUGCGACCCCAGGAUGGGCGAGGCCACCCGCUGAGUUUAAGCAUAUCAAUAAGCGGAGGAGAAGAAAC
rnacentral:rRNA from 1 species